UUGUCACUGCUUCUUCGGGAAUCAUAACAACCACGAAGUUGGAGUGGGCGCUGCCGCCACCAGCGACUAGAGCCAAACAGUUACUAAAUCCAUCCAACCCGGACGCACCUAUCAACCGCUGGUGAGCUGGUGACGACGAAUCGGCACAGGAAGCUGGUGACGAGCUCGGCACAGGAACAAGACGCUGGUGAGGAAGAGAUUGUUCAUAAUGGAACCUAUAAAAAAUGAAGGUCGUACGCCAUUUGCAGACUUGACAAACUCCAUUAAUGGAGCUGUUCAUACAACAUCAAUUUCAUAAGUGCAAGCUGAUGAACGUGUGCAAUGUAAAAGGGAAAGAGAAAAGGCACGACAUGCAACAAUGACUCAAGAAGAAAGGGAUGAAAAAAAAUAAAAAACGUAGAGAAAAAUAUCAUCAAAAAAGGCAGAAACUUCACUAGCUGCUGGGUCUAGAGGUCCACCGUAUUCUAAUUUUCCGUUUUUGAAUUUAGUAUUACCAUUUUUUUCGUUUAUGUGAGACAUAUAGUAUUGUAUAUCACCUACUUGUAUUAGUCAUUUGUUUGCUUAUUUAGAAUAUAAUGAU